ACACUGCAGCCAGAACACAGUCGCCGUCUUCAGUUCGCGCCGUCAACUCCUCGAUCGAUCGAUCGCAUCGUCUCGGAUCGAAUAGAGCUGGGCUUCUGCUCCGGAGCUACAUCGCCGUACUUGUCGGACGAGUGUGGUGAUGAAAAGUCGCUUAGUCCGGGAUUCCUGCCAGAUCUCUAAGGGAUGAGCUGGCAUCCCAGGCUGGCCAUGUGGCGCGAAGUAUGCGCACAAAAAAGUCAAACAAAAAGGCGCAAUUUUAUUACGGGCAACCAACGACGAAACAAAACAAAAGCCAACCGAAAAGCAGAAACAAAGCAGCAAAAAGUUUAUGAAUUUUUUGUGCAGGCGCGUGAAAGAUGCAAAACGAGAAAAAAACAUGAAAAAAAAACAUUAAAAAAAACAAAAAAAAUCCAAAACAGAUACCGAGCUGUAUCCGAAAACGAGUGGGGAAAGGGGUUUCCCAGUCACAUAUAAACACACUUCAGUGCGCUUAAAAAUUGCUUUAUUGCAGUUGGACUAUAAAAACGCACGGCAGCGAACACCGCACAACAAAAAGGACGAGCAGAAGUGGGCAAAUAAAACGAAAGCUCUUAAACGAAAAACAGGAAAAUUUGCAUGCCACAAAAAUAAGCAUAAGGAUUUGCCGCGCACAAAGUAGAAGCAAAAAGGAAUUGCCCAAAUGCAGCCACAAAAGACUGUGGCAAAUGUUUUGCAGCUUGCCCCUUUUUCCCUGCAAUUACCGUCAGUCGUUGUCAUUAUUCAGCAGAUUAUAUGGUUUUGCUUAUUCCGGACCACCAUCAUCAUCAUCAUUAUCAUCAUCUUCGGUAAGUUAGACAAUCCCAUAAAAAACUGUCCAAGUGAGUAGUGCCACCAAAAGUUAGCCGCGUUGUGGAAAAUCCAAAACAAAGACCAUCCCAUAUUCAGCCUUUGAGAGUUCCAUGCUUCCUUGCAUUCAAUAGUUAUAUUCAAGCAUAUGGAAUGUAAAGAAGUAUGGAGCGAAAUCUGGCGAGACAUCGGAGUUGAAACU
rnacentral:lncRNA from 1 species